rnacentral:rRNA from 1 species
GUUAAGUCAGGCAACGAGCGAGACCCACGCCCACAGUUGCCAGCGUACUCUCUGGAGUGGACGGGUACACUGUGGGGACCGCCGCUGCUAAAGCGGAGGAAGGAAUGGGCAACGGUAGGUCAGUAUUGCCCCGAAUAUCCCGGGCUACACGCGAGCUACAAUGGUUGGUACAAUGGGUAUCUACCCGAAAGGGGACGGGAAUCUCCUAAAACCAAUCUUAGUUCGGAUUGGAGGGCUGCAACUCGCCCUCAUGAAGCUGGAAUCCGUAGUAAUCGCGUUUCAACAGAACGCGGUGAAUACCGUCCUGCUCCUU